GAACCUUACCAGGUCUUGACAUCCCGAUGCUAUUUCUAGAGAUAGAAAGGUUACUUCGGUACAUCGGUGACAGGUGGUGCAUGGUUGUCGUCAGCUCGUGUCGUGAGAUGUUGGGUUAAGUCCCGCAACGAGCGCAACCCCUAUUGUUAGUUGCCAUCAUUCAGUUGGGCACUCUAGCGAGACUGCCGGUAAUAAACCGGAGGAAGGUGGGGAUGACGUCAAAUCAUCAUGCCCCUUAUGACCUGGGCUACACACGUGCUACAAUGGUUGGUACAACGAGUUGCGAGUCGGUGACGGCGAGCUAAUCUCUUAAAGCCAAUCUCAGUUCGGAUUGUAGGCUGCAACUCGCCUACAUGAAGUCGGAAUCGCUAGUAAUCGCGGAUCAGCACGCCGCGGUGAAUACGUUCCCGGGCCUU
rnacentral:rRNA from 1 species